UACGUAGGGUGCAAGCGUUGUCCGGAAUUAUUGGGCGUAAAGAGCUCGUAGGCGGUCUGUCGCGUCUGCUGUGAAAACUCGGGGCUUAACCCCGGGCCUGCAGUGGGUACGGGCAGACUAGAGUGCGGUAGGGGAGACUGGAAUUCCUGGUGUAGCGGUGAAAUGCGCAGAUAUCAGGAGGAACACCGGUGGCGAAGGCGGGUCUCUGGGCCGUAACUGACGCUGAGGAGCGAAAGC
rnacentral:rRNA from 1 species